UACGUAGGGGGCAAGCGUUGUCCGGAUUUAUUGGGCGUAAAGAGCGUGUAGGCGGCCAGACAAGUCCGUUGUGAAAACUAGAGGCUUAACCUCUAGACGUCGAUGGAAACUGUUUGGCUAGAGUCCGGAAGAGGAGAAUGGAAUUCCUGGUGUAGCGGUGAAGUGCGCAGAUAUCAGGAAGAACACCCGUGGCUAAGGCGGUUCUCUAGUACGGUACUGACGCUGAGACGCGAAAGCGUGGGGAGCGAACAGG
rnacentral:rRNA from 1 species